rnacentral:rRNA from 1 species
UGGGGAAUAUUGCACAAUGGAGGGAACUCUGAUGCAGCGACGCCGCGUGAGUGAUGAAGGAAUUCGUUUCGUAAAACUCUGUUCUAUGGGAAGAAAAGGACUGUACCAUAGGAGAAAGCUCCGGCUAAAUACGUGCCAGCAGCCGCGGUAAUACGUAUGGAGCGAGCGUUGUCCGGAAUUAUUGGGCGUAAAGGGUGCGCAGGCGGCUGUACAAGUUGGAUGUGAAAUAUUGUGGCUCAACCACAAACGUGCAUCCAAAACUGCAAAGCUUGAGUUAAGGAGAGGUAAGUGGAAUUCCUGGUGUAGCGGUGGAAUGCGUAGAUAUCAGGAGGAAUACCGGUGGCGAAGGCGACUUACUGGACUUAAACUGACACUCAGGCACGAAAGCGUGGGGAGCAAACAGG